rnacentral:rRNA from 1 species
AGCGAACGCUGGCGGCAGGCCUAACACAUGCAAGUCGAACGAACCUUUCGGGGUUAGUGGCGGACGGGUGAGUAACACGUGGGAACGUGCCUUUAGGUUCGGAAUAACUCAGGGAAACUUGUGCUAAUACCGAAUGUGCCCUUCGGGGGAAAGAUUUAUCGCCUUUAGAGCGGCCCGCGUCUGAUUAGCUAGUUGGUUGAGGUAAUGGCUCACCAAGGCGACGAUCAGUAGCUGGUCUGAGAGGAUGAUCAGCCACAUUGGGACUGAGACACGGCCCAAACUCCUACGGGAGGCAGCAGUGGGGAAUAUUGCGCAAUGGGCGAAAGCCUGACGCAGCAAUGCCGCGUGAAUGAUGAAGGUCUUAGGAUUGUAAAAUUCUUUCACCGGGGACGAUAAUGACGGUACCCGGAGAAGAAGCCCCGGCUAACUUCGUG